AAAUGAAUAGACGGGGGCCCGCACAAGCAGCGGAGCAUGUGGUUUAAUUCGAAGCAACGCGAAGAACCUUACCAGGUCUUGACAUCGAAGGAAUCAUCAGAGAUGAUGAGUGCCCCUCGGGGCCCUGAAGACAGGUGGUGCAUGGUUGUCGUCAGCUCGUGUCGUGAGAUGUUGGGUUAAGUCCCGCAACGAGCGCAACCCUUGUUGUCAGUUACUAACGCGUAAAGGCGAGGACUCUGACGAGACCGCCGGGGACAACUCGGAGGAAGGUGGGGACGACGUCAAAUCAUCAUGCCCCUUAUGACCUGGGCUACACACGUGCUACAAUGGCCACUACAAAGAGAGGCGAGGCCGCAAGGCGGAGCAGAUCUGUAAAAAGUGGUCUCAGUUCGGAUCGUGGGCUGCAACCCGCCCACGUGAAGCAGGAGUUGCUAGUAAUCGCGAAUCAGCAUGUCGCGGUGAAUACGUUCCCGGGCCUUGUACACACCGCCCGU
rnacentral:rRNA from 1 species